rnacentral:rRNA from 1 species
AAAUUGACUUUUAAUUGGGGCCUUGAAUGAAGGGAUUAAUGGAUAAUAACUGUCUCAAAUUAAAUUAUUAAAAGUUACUUAAAAGGUGAAAAUUCCUUUAGAAAUAUAAAAGACGAGAAGACCCUAGGAGUUUGAAAUUUUGUUGGGGCGACAAUAUAGCAUUUAACCUAUAUAAUUAUAUAAUAUAUAAUGAGUUUUAAUUUUAAUUAAACUACCCUAGGGAUAACAGCAUAAUUUAAUAGUUUG